rnacentral:rRNA from 1 species
UACGUAGGGUGCAGGCGUUAAUCGGAAUUACUGGGCGUAAAGCGUGCGCAGGCGGUUUCUUAAGUCAGAUGUGAAAGCCCCGGGCUUAACCUGGGAACUGCGUUUGAAACUGGGAGACUUGAGUGUGGCAGAGGGGGGUGGAAUUCCAAGUGUAGCAGUGAAAUGCGUAGAUAUUUGGAGGAACACCAAUGGCGAAGGCAGCCCCCUGGGUUAACACUGACGCUCAUGCACGAAAGCGUGGGGAGCAAACAGG